CGAACGCUGGCGGCGUGCUUAACACAUGCAAGUCGAACGGCAAGGCCCUGCUUUUGUGGGGUGCUCGAGUGGCGAACGGGUGAGUAACACGUGAGUAACCUGCCCUUGACUUUGGGAUAACUUCAGGAAACUGGGGCUAAUACCGGAUAGGAGCUCCUGCUGCAUGGUGGGGGUUGGAAGGUUUCGGCGGUUGGGGAUGGACUCGCGGCUUAUCAGCUUGUUGGUGGGGUAGUGGCUUACCAAGGCUUUGACGGGUAGCCGGCCUGAGGGGGUGACCGGCCACAUUGGGACUGAGAUACGGCCCAGACUCCUACGGGAGGCAGCAGUGGGGAAUAUUGCACAAUGGGCGGAAGCCUGAUGCAGCAACGCCGCGUGCGGGAUGACGGCCUUCGGGUUGUAAACCGCUUUCGCCUGUGACGAAGCGUGAGUGACGGUAAUGGGUAAAGAAGCACCGGCUAACUACGUG
rnacentral:rRNA from 1 species